GACAGCCUCACCUCAACUGCAGUUCAGUGACUUACCAGUUUGUCCAUAGGCAAAGAUACAGGCAUUGUAGCCAAGGAAGGCAUUAUGAAGAAGACUCUCCCCAAGGCACUGAAACACCACCUCCUGACCUGGAGAGACAUGCCAGCAGUGACUCAAAGAGCAAGAGAGACAUGGUGGAAAAGUUACCAUUACCUUGGACUGAUUCCUGGUGAUGUCGCACAGCAGGUCAAAGUGCAUGUGGAAAGAGAUGAAAUUUUAGGCUACGGGUAUCCUGAAAGGCUAGUUGGUGGAGUUCAAUUCGUACCCUUUCCAAAACCGAAGACCCAGUAUGAAAAAUGUCUUUGAUGGAUCAAACUUUGUGGAAGACCGCCUCAUCAACUGAAUCCAUCUAAAAUCAACCGGAACAGAAGACAGAGUACGAAAAAUGUCUUUGAUGGAUCAAACUUUGUGGAAGACCGCAUGAUCAACUGAAUCCAUCAACCGGAACAGAUAUGUUUGCACGAAGAUAAUGAGCUAAGCUAAACCGGACUAGCAGUCCUGAAUGCCUUCGACGUGCACCGAGACACCAAGACUGAAGGAAGGAUGUUUGAGGACAUUAAAGUAGUGAUUGUCGUACUCGGUCGGGACUUACGUAGGUUCAGCACUAAUUCAAGAAUAAUUAUUGAGGGGAGCGCGUGACGUUACACAAAGAAAACGAGAGAAACAACUCGUAAAUCAAGCCUCGCCUUCUUCUUUUCCUUCAUACGGCGGUUCACAAACGGCUAUACAGACACAUAUACAGAUUCUGCACACAAGUGUGAUAUGUAACAAGAAAAUAGGAAACUGUCAAUGACGAAUUCGUCUUUGGGUUAUAAUAUAUUAUGUGGCUUCUCGGUCUUCCUCUGACUCUGGAAAGAUCUCGCGCUAAUAAUGGUUUCUCCGUCGAUAUGCAUGUAAAUACCAUUGAAAUACCCCUCGCUGAAAUACUUGAAGCCCUGCUGUCUGCUUUUCAACGAUAUUUCACUGUUAGCUAAAAAUGCGAGUGAGAAAUCAGCCGGUAAAUCGGACAGUUUCGCUCUUUUCUUUUCUUGCUGCACCGCCCUUUUUGCUAAUUGUUUGUCUGACGUAGGUGCACGUGGUGUGACGUCACUUCAGGAGGCGUGGUUAAGUGCCCUGUACGGAAGGGUCAAUUGAUUUAUAAGACUAAAAACUAAGAUACACAGGACAUACCUCAAUCAGGCUACGCCAGUGACCUGAAUUGGAAGUAACUUUGUUUUGCUAUGCCACAAAUUUAUCACAAUGUAGAUUUUCACAAUAAUUUCACAUUUUUAAACGUAUAACAUUUAAAGUUAGUCAUCACGUUAAAACUGACCUUUUUCUGGUGUGAUCGCAAUGUUUUCAUACUAGACAGAUGAGCAAUGCUAAUGCGGGCAAACUAUGACAUAAGUGUUUGAAAAAAGCUUGUGGUUCCGAUUUCCAGACGACCCAAAAAAUUCCCGCCGACCCCAACAUGUUUACGCCACGUAAUAUGUCAGGGGUGUGGGUCUCCAUGGCCCCGUGUACAUUCUGCAGAAGUGGAGUUAAGUUGGGUGUUUGACAACAGCCACGGAGGGCGGCGGCGUGGCUAUGCGCCACUUCCUUGUGUGCACUGCUGCACCUCGUUGCAUCCUGAUUACGUUGCGUAUUUAAGCCUUGUUUUUCCAUACCACUUGUUGCCAGAACGUUGCUUAUAUACGCAUGUGUGUUCAUGAAGGUCAGCUCACCUAACUGCCUUGUCCCAUGUCAUAGCAUUACUGACCCAUAUCAGGUCACGUUACGUUUUCAUGUUUUGUCAUGUCCGAUUUUUGACAUUGUUUCAUGUUUUUUGGACGGGGGGAGGGGGGAGAGAAAGAGAGCGAGAGAGCGAGAGCGAGAGAGAGCGAGAGAGCGAGAGAGAGCGAGAGAGCGAGAGAGAGCGAGAGAGAGAGAGAGAGAGACAGAGAGAGAGAGAGAAAGAAAAGCAUGUAUUUAGAUCGCGUUAUGGACGAGCGAGUGUGAAUUUAUGAGAACUGACAAGAAAAUGCCGGCACCAUGUGCUGGAGAAGGAGUAAAAAUAUAUUGUAAAAAAAAAAAAAAAAAAAAAAAACACCUACCGACCCUUGUUCUGAAACGUAGGAAAUCGGAACCACAUUUUUGGAGGGGGCCUAAUCAUUUUGGUGUGACCAUGAAAAGCAAUUGCAGGGAGAUUUGAUGUAUAUUUUACCUGGCAGAUUUAGUUCUUCCCAUGAUUUAAGUAUCUCCCACAAAGAACCCAACCCAUAUAAGUAAAAAAUUAUGUUGACAAAAAUUCUAGAAGGAAAUUCCUCAGUAACCACAAAUUAUUUUUUUGGAUGUCAAGAUUUCGACUUAAAACUAUGUGAAAAUCAUCUCUCCAUGCUUUAACCACAUUUCACAAAGCCCCCUGACGUAAAAUGGAGAACAAAGUCUGCCUGCUGCCUGAAGACCACAUUUCACAAAACCAACUGACGUAAAAUGGAGAACAAAGACUGCCUUGCUGCCUGAAGUUUCAAGCCAAGGACUUUUGAAGUUACCAUAUAAGUCAAUUUACCAUCCUUGUCAAAAUUAAAUCCUAAAAAACAUCCCUUUAUAUCCUUUUAUCUUCAAGACUCAUCAGCACCACCAAUUUAUUUUUUAACACAAUUGUAUAGUAACAAACUUAGUUCUUCCAACUUCGAGAAUACAGGAAUCCAGUCCCAAUGU